AAGUCGUAACAAGGUUUCCGUAGGUGAACCUGCGGAAGGUAUCCAACCCCGUCGUAACCAGCUUUUGAGUCAGGGACCUCUGCCGAUUGUGAUAUUUUAUAGCUACGAUUGCAUCUAGUGACCUGGCAUCCAAGUAAUCAGUGUCUGAAAGUGUCAUUGAUUAAGGAUGGCGCAGUCACGAUCGCUGUAGGCCCACACGGCCGGCGACCGGUCACCGGGCUCUGCCCUUACGACAACACAGUACGAAUUGGCCACGCGUGAAAUUCGCACGGCACCAAAAACGAUAUCUUGGUUCUC
rnacentral:misc_RNA from 1 species